UACGUAGGGGGGCUAGCGUUGUCCGGAAUCAUUGGGCGUAAAGGGUGCGUAGGCGGCGCGGUAAGUCGGGUGUGAAAUCUUGGAGCUUAACUCCGAAACUGCAUUCGAUACUGCCGUGCUUGAGGACUGGAGAGGAGACUGGAAUUUACGGUGUAGCGGUGAAAUGCGUAGAUAUCGUAAGGAAGACCAGUGGCGAAGGCGGGUCUCUGGACAGUUCCUGACGCUGAGGCACGAAGGCCAGGGGAGCAAACGGG
rnacentral:rRNA from 1 species